GAUGAACGCUGGCGGCGUGCCUAAUACAUGCAAGUCGAGCGAACGGACGAGCAGCUUGCUUCUCUGAUGUUAGCGGCGCAUGGGUGAGUAACGCGUGGAUAACCCACCUAUCAGACUGGUAUCACUUCGGGAAACCGUAGCUAAUCCCGGAUAAUAUCUUGAACCGCAUGGUUCAUAAGUGAACGACGGUCUUGCUGUCUCUAAUAGAUGGAUACGCGCUGCAUUAGCUAGUAGGGAAGGUAACGGCUUACCAGGGCAACGAGGCAUAGCCGACCGGAGAGGCUGAUCCGCCACAGUGGAUGAUAGACGCGGACCGGACUCCUACGGGAGGCAGCAAUAGGGAAACUGCCGCAAUGGUCGAGAGCCUGACGGAGCAACACGACGUGAGAUAUGAAGGGCUUACGAGCGUAAAACUCGGUUAUUAGGGAAGAACAUAUGUGUACUGAACCGAGCCCAACUUGACGGUACCUGAUCAGAAGGCCACGGCUAACUACGUG
rnacentral:rRNA from 1 species